rnacentral:rRNA from 1 species
CCUACGGGCGGCAGCAGUGGGGAAUAUUGGACAAUGGGGGCAACCCUGAUCCAGCCAUGCCGCGUGUGUGAAGAAGGCCCUCGGGUUGUAAAGCACUUUCAGUGAGGAAGAACGCCUGGUGGUUAAUACCCAUCAGGAAAGACAUCACUCACAGAAGAAGCACCGGCUAACUCCGUGCCAGCAGCCGCGGUAAUACGGAGGGUGCGAGCGUUAAUCGGAAUUACUGGGCGUAAAGCGCGCGUAGGUGGCUUGAUAAGCCGGUUGUGAAAGCCCCGGGCUCAACCUGGGAACGGCAUCCGGAACUGUCAAGCUAGAGUGCAGGAGAGGAAGGUAGAAUUCCCGGUGUAGCGGUGAAAUGCGUAGAGAUCGGGAGGAAUACCAGUGGCGAAGGCGGCCUUCUGGACUGACACUGACACUGAGGUGCGAAAGCGUGGGUAGCAAACGGGAUUAGAUACCCUAGUAGUC